rnacentral:rRNA from 1 species
ACUCCUACGGGAGGCAGCAGUGGGGAAUCUUUGGACAAUGGGGCGAAACCCCUGAUCCAGCCAUGCCGCGUGAGUGAUGAAGGCCUUAGGGUCGUAAAGCUCUUUCGCCAGGGAUGAUAAUGACAGUACCUGGUAAAGAAACCCCGGCUAACUCCGUGCCAGCAGCCGCGGUAAUACGGAGGGGUUAGCGUUGUUCGGAAUUACUGGGGCGUAAAGCGCGCGUAGGCGGACCAGAAAGUUGGGGGUGAAAUCCCGGGGCUCAACCCCGGAACUGCCUCCAAAACUCCUGGUCUUGAGUUCGAGAGAGGUGAGUGGAAUUCCGAGUGUAGAGGUGAAAUUCGUAGAUAUUCGGAGGAACACCAGUGGCGAAGGCGGCUCACUGGCUCGAUACUGACGCUGAGGUGCGAAAGUGUGGGGAGCAAACAGGAUUAGAUACCCUGGUAGGAUAGCG